UCCGACGUAGCUGCCCCAAAGUCCUGCCGGGACACCCGACGCGCCGGCCGUGCACGCUGACACCGUGUGCCGGCCCUCGUGUCCCUUUGCACCCUUCCUAACCCGGCCGCGGCGCCCGGCACGGAGGAGAGCUGCCCGGGCUGAGCCCAGCGCCGGAGCCGGGCUCGGGGCCGAGUCGCAGCCGCUGGUGGCGAGGAGGAGGAAGAGGAGGAGGAGGAGMGGARCCRGGGUCGGGCAGCGCUSCGCGGGACCCGCCGGCCGCCCGGGGCUGAUGCUGCCCGGGGAAGGGGCAGAGCUGUAGAAAAAUGCCCCGAGGAGCCGCCGGCGCGGCGCUGCUGGCAAUSCUGACCGUUUCGCUGGGCUUCGCCGCCGGYGAGCUGCUCUGCGCCUGCGACGUGCCGCACUGCAACGUCUCCACGUGCCGGGGGAAGGUGUGCUUCGUCAGCAAGAGCAGGGAGGGCGGCAGCGUCACCCGGCGCAAGGGCUGCUUCUCGCAGCACCUCCUGGAGAGCUGCCGCGGCCCCGUCAUGGAGCACUUCGGCACCAAGUGCUGCAACGCCAGCAUGUGCAACGCCCACCUGGAGAUCUACCUGCGAGGUAGGAGCGGGCCACGGUGCCGUGUCGUGCCGUGCCGGCCGCACAGUGCCCCAGUCCCAGCCGGCGUUGCCCCCCGGCAGGCGAGGAGGCGCCGGGGCCGGCGGCC
rnacentral:lncRNA from 1 species